UACGUAGGGGGCAAGCGUUGUCCGGAAUCAUUGGGCGUAAAGCGCGCGUAGGCGGCCCGGUAAGUCCGCUGUAAAAGUCAAAGGCUCAACCUUUGAAUGCCGGUGGAUACUGUCGGGCUAGAGUCCGGAAGAGGCGAGUGGAAUUCCUGGUGUAGCGGUGAAAUGCGCAGAUAUCAGGAGGAACACCAAUAGCGAAGGCAGCUCGCUGGGACGGUACUGACGCUAAGGCGCGAAAGCGUGGGGAGCGAACAGG
rnacentral:rRNA from 1 species